UUGAUCAUGGCUCAGAUUGAACGCUGGCGGCAGGCCUAACACAUGCAAGUCGAGCGGCAGCACAAGUGAGUUUACUCAUGAGGUGGCGAGCGGCGGACGGGUGAGUAAUGCCUAGGGAUCUGCCCAGUCGAGGGGGAUAACAGUUGGAAACGACUGCUAAUACCGCAUACGCCCUACGGGGGAAAGAGGGGGACCUUCGGGCCUCUCGCGAUUGGAUGAACCUAGGUGGGAUUAGCUAGUUGGUGAGGUAAUGGCUCACCAAGGCGACGAUCCCUAGCUGUUCUGAGAGGAUGAUCAGCCACACUGGGACUGAGACACGGCCAGACUCCUACGGGAGGCAGCAGUGGGGAAUAUUGCACAAUGGGGGAAACCCUGAUGCAGCCAUGCCGCGUGUGUGAAGAAGGCCUUCGGGUUGUAAAGCACUUUCAGUAGGGAGGAAAGGUUGUAAGUUAUACCUUGCAGCUGUGACGUUACCUACAGAAGAAGGACCGGCUAAACUCCGUGCCAAGCAGCCGCGGUAAUACGGAGGGUCCAACGCGUUAAUCGGAAUUACUGGGCGUAAAGCGUGCGCAGGCGGUUUGUUAAGC
rnacentral:rRNA from 1 species